rnacentral:rRNA from 1 species
AUGGGGCUUCUUCUUCGCGGCAAAGCCCGCCAGCGAGACGUGCCCGACGCCCGGGUGCUAGGUGCAGUACGGCCAGGAGAAGGCGUACUACGGCGGCGAGGGCGGCCGGGAGGCAGUGGCGUUCCGGCGCAGGUUCGCGUACCGCUACACGUGGAGGGACGGGGAGGUAAUACCGCCGACGCGCUGGCGGAUGAAGGAGUACCGGCUCAACAGGAACGCGGCCGCCUUCCGCCGCGCGCACCCGGGCCGCCUGGCGGCGGACGUCGUCUUCGUGGUCCACAAGGUCUACAGGAAGCCGCUGAUCCCUCGCCGCCGCCGCCGCCUGUCGACAGCAGCUCCAGCGACGACGAGGGCUCCGAGAGCUACAUCGUGUACCUGCGACUCGACGAGCUCAUGCGGCGGUUAACGCUGGGGAACUAG